rnacentral:lncRNA from 1 species
CAAAAACUAGCACUUUCUUGAAGUUGACUCAGUUAUGUUCGAACCGGUUAAACUUACAAGAUUCUAUAAUUUAAAGCAAGGUAAAUAAAUUCCUUUACAAUUUCUCAUUUUAAAAGGGUUGAGGAUAUAGAAAAACCCUUUGCAUAUUGAAAGAGAAUGGUGAACCUACCAUUACCAAAGACAUCACCAUAUAUAGAAACAAAACACAAGACAUGUAUAGGCUAGCCCCUACAUAAGGAGAAGGGAGAAUAGUAUGUAGAGUCGUUUUCCAAUCCAACACUGUACUACUCCACCGCAUGUUAUGGAGCGUGCUAUUGGCGCUUACAAGAAACCAUGAAUGCUCAAUUGGGAACUAACAAAUAUAGGCCAUACAAUGGGAGGCACAUGUAGUGUCAUUUUUAAAUGGAUUCUUUUUUUUUUUUCCCCAUCUUUUUCUUCAAACAUAAAUAUAUUUAUUGCUUUCAUUUGUCCUUGCUCCAUUGGUGUUUGCCCUAUAUACGAAAUAAAGAAUCCUUCAUCUGCCUAAGUUAUUGGCUCUUGAUAUUCAGCUCUCUCAGAUAACUCAUGGUGCUUGCUUGUGUCUUCAGAGACCACUUCUAGCACACCCCACUUGCAUAUGUACCAGAAAAAAUGGGGUCACCAUAUCAAAAUUAUUAGAUAUGCAUGCAUGCAUUCAUAUGACGAGGAUUCAACCUCACUUAGCACGCACAUUCAAAUUUACAUGGGACCACGAACGAUGGUGAGACGUAUGCAUACACUCGUUAUUUAAGAUGCAUUGAGAUAAAUAGCUUGAAUAAACAUUUAAAUAUUUGACAACAGUAAGUAAUAAGUUAGCCCAAAACUGGAAAUUUAGCCGGCAUCUGAAAGUUAUUAGGUGAAAACUGAGAGCUAUUAUCAAGUUCAUUUAUUGAAUCAUAAAUACUUAAUAAAAUAAUCAAAUAAAGUAACAUAAAU